CCUACGGGAGGCAGCAGUGGGGAAUAUUGGGCAAUGGAGGCAACUCUGACCCAGCAACGCCGCGUGAAUGAUGAAGGUCUUUGGAAUGUAAAGUUCUGUGAUGGGGGAUGAACACAAUAACGGUACCCCAAUAGCAAGCCACGGCUAACGACGUGACAGCAGCCGCGGUAAUACGUAGGUGGCAAGCGUUAUCCGGAAUGACUGGGCGUAAAGGGUGCGUAGGUGGCUUAGUAAGUAGACGGUGUAAUUCCGGGGCUCAACCUCGGCGCUACCGCCGAAAAUAUUAGACUAGAGUGCAGGAGGGGUAAGUGGAAUUCCUAGUGUAGCGGUGGAAUGCGUAGAUAUUAGGAGGAACAUCAGGGGCGAAGGCGACUUACUGGACUUUAACUGACGCUGAGGCACGAAAGCGUGGGGAGCGAACAGGAUUAGAUACCCCUGUAGUC
rnacentral:rRNA from 1 species